UACGGGGGGGGCAAGCGUUGUUCGGAAUUACUGGGCGUAAAGGGCGUGUAGGCGGCUGAAUAAGUGGGAUGUUAAAUCCCCCGGCUCAACCGGGGAACUGCAUCUCAUACUGUUCAGCUUGGGUACAGCAGAGGAGACUGGAAUUCCCGGUGUAGCGGUGAAAUGCGUAGAUAUCAGGAGGAACACCGGUGGCGAAGGCGGUUCUCUGGGAAUGUCCUGACGCUGAGGAGCGAAAGUGUGGGGAGCGAACAGG
rnacentral:rRNA from 1 species